rnacentral:rRNA from 1 species
CCUACGGGCGGCUGCAGUCGAGAAUCUUCGGCAAUGGGCGCAAGCCUGACCGAGCGACGCCGCGUGCGGGAUGAAGGCCUUCGGGUUGCAAACCGCUGUCAGAGGGGAGGAAAUGCAUGGGAGUUCUCUCUCAUGUUUGACCUAUCCUCAGAGGAAGUACGGGCUAAGUUCGUGCCAGCAGCCGCGGUAAUACGAACCGUACGAACGUUAGUCGGAUUAGCGGGCCUUGGAGCGUGCGUAGGCUGCUGGGGAAAGCCCUCGGCUCAACCGAGGAAUUGCGCCCAAAACUACCUGGCUUGAGGAAGAUAGAGGUAAGCGGAACUAAUGGUGGAGCGGUGAAAUGCGUUGAUAUCAUUAGGAACACCUGUGGCGAAAGCAGCUUACUGGGUCUUUUCUGACGCUGAUGCACGAAAGCUAGGGGAGCGAACGGGAUUAGAUACCCCGGUAGUC